GUGGGGUUUGAUGGGAAGUAUUUGUUUUGGAACGGGAGGGAUUUUGGCGCGGAACACGGACACUGAGGCAUUGGUUUAUAGGUCUGGAUUGUGUGGCUUUGUCAGCAUAGCAGGAGUUUCACGGUGAUGCUUAAGGACCGUAGCCGCAGCCGUCUUCACCAGUCUGUGCCUGUCUACUAGUGGAGUGGUGUAGUGUGUGGCCACCCUGAGCCCUAUCAGUUAGCGGUGACAAGAGGGAGACACCUGUCAUCACUGUCAGCAGGGGACCAGAAGCGUUUGUGUAAACGAGGAUUACCCGUCGUGCCCCUCAGCUGGAAAUUUUGAGGUGUACAAGUUUCAUUUAGUUAUUUCUUUUUGUUGCGAGUUUUACACGAGUUGUGUAUUGAUUUAUUUUGAUAUCCAUUAAAGUAUUAUUUGUA